CCUGGUCACGGCGCCUGGAAUUCCAGGGAGAGCUGACUGAGUUAGGGUGCCGGAGGGGGGGCAUGCUCUUUGCCUCGCGCCCCCGCUUCACCCCUCUUUGCCUGCUGCUCUUUAGCGACCUGCUGCUCAUCACUCAGCCUAAGAGGCCCAGCAGGUUCCGGAUCCAUCUGGACCCCCUACCUUCCGCCUCUCCCUUCUCAGCAACCACCAGGGCCGCCCCACCCACCGACUACUCCAAGCUUCUUCCC
rnacentral:sRNA from 1 species